rnacentral:tRNA from 1 species
GUGCGAUUAGCACAGCGGUCGCGCACUUCCUUCACACGGACGGGGUCACUGGUUCGAAUCCAGUAUCGCCCA